rnacentral:rRNA from 1 species
UACAGAGGGUGCAAGCGUUAAUCGGAAUUACUGGGCGUAAAGCGCGCGUAGGUGGUUUGUUAAGUUGGAUGUGAAAUCCCCGGGCUCAACCUGGGAACUGCAUCCAAAACUGGCAAGCUAGAGUAGGGCAGAGGGUGGUGGAAUUUCCUGUGUAGCGGUGAAAUGCGUAGAUAAUAGGAAGGAACACCAGUGGCGAAGGCGACCACCUGGGCUCAUACUGACACUGAGGUGCGAAAGCGUGGGGAGCAAACAGG